rnacentral:lncRNA from 1 species
UGAGAGGCAAGAAGCAGCGGGUAGCACUUUUCUCGGUAUCAAAGAGACGUGAAACUAGGAACUUCCAGUUUCCCAAGACGCAACAUUGAAUUCAAUCAGAGGUAAAGAUUCUGGACUAUUGGAUUAAAUGAGGAGGCAGGAGCUACUAUCUCUUGCAGUGAAAUUAUGCCAUUCAUUAGAAGGUGAUACUGUCAUCAAUGUGAGAGGCCCAGGACUCUGCAGGGCCUGAAGAAAUCCUGGGCAAUGAGUCUGAGGGAAGUCUCUCAGAGCAGCUACUCUGAGAGAGUAAAGCCGCAGCCUUUGUGGGGUAUGAAAGCAGCGUUCUCAUGGAUAAGGCUUAUUUGAGACGAAGUGGAGGCCUUGUUUUGUCCACUUACCGCAAUGUCCACUGUCCCCAACUGCAGCAUGCCAACAGCAAAUGUGUUUAGUGGAUAUGUGCUUUGUAGCUAACAAGAAACAGUAACAUUUAUUUUUCCAUGCCUAGUUGCUUAACAAACGAUAUUCUAAAAGGGCACCACGUUUUAUGUGUGUUUACAUGAAAACAAAUCAAAUCAUGAACUGGUGGUCAGGGAGUUCUGGAAACAAUAAACAAGUUGACCAUGCAACUGACAGCUCCCCUCUGAAAUGCAGACACAGCUAAGUCCAGCAUGACUCGCUGAAGGCACAUGCAAAGAACAGGCGGGGCAGUUUGGUG